AAGUAGGCCGCGAUAUUUUUUCAUUACUUCGUAAUUUUGAUAAAAACUUUUUUCUGUGAAACCAUACGAGAUAAGAAUAACACGGAAUAUUAUCUUCAUAUUUCUCAAAAUUUUAUCGGGUAAUGUACAAAUCGCAUUGCUCUGAAGAGUGGAGAUCUACGAGAGGGAGACAAAAACUGAAAAGGACCCAGUUUAACAGCUUUUUAGGGAAGGGUUUCGUUGGACGUUAAUAACGAAAACUUCCGGAUCAGGGAUCUUGUCAAGUUGUGGAAUAUAGACUUGUUCUUAUGACAAUUAAAAAGAAAAAGGAAAACAUCUGUAAAUGACAGUGAGUGCUAAAUGAAGACCUUUUCAGACGAAAAUUUUGGGUAACUGACUGUGAAAUGAUUAUUAAAAUCAUAUUAAAUGAUAUUUUAUAAUUAUUAAAUAAUAUUUUAUGAUAUUACACAGUAGUACAGUAUUAUACGAGAUCAACUUUUGACACAAUAUAUCUAUGGGGAUAAAUAUGACAUUAUACUGGUGUCAUUGUGCUAGUGGAUACAAUUUUUAUGAUAAGUUUGCUAUAUUGACACACAUUCAUCUCUCAGAAUUUUUGAUAAGGAAACUGAGAAUAAAGUGCAAAUACGGCACUCAUGGUGAAACACAUCUUUUUUGCCGGGUCAGU